CACUCAAUAGCUGUAGAUGGAGAUAUAUUAACCAAGAAAUAGGCUGUAUUAAUUGCUUCAGCCCAGAAAUCCUUUCCAAAUUCUGAAUAUGAGAGCAUGCUUUGUGCUUUGUUGCAAAGUAUUCUGUUCAUGCAUUCUGCAAUAUCAUUCUAUUGUGGUGUCCUUGUAUAAGUGCGAUGUCUCAGUAUAUCUUCAUUGCUGCAGAAUGCAUCGAACUCACAAUUGCAAAAUUUCAACCUGUUAUCAGUUCUAAGAUGCUUAACCUUCUUUUCUAACUACUUCUCAAUCAUCGUCUUCCACUUUACAAAGGUUAAAAAUGCCUU
rnacentral:misc_RNA from 1 species